UUUGCUUGAUCCUACUAGUAGUCAUAUGCUUGUCUUAAAGAUUAAGCCAUGCAUGUGUAAGUAUGAACUAAUUCAAAUUGUGAAAUUAUGAAUGGCUCAUUAACUCAAUUAUAGUUUGUUUGAUGGUAUCUAUUACUUGGAUAACCAUAUUAAUUCUAAUGCUAAUACGUGCAACAAACCCUAACUUAUGGAAGGGAUGCAUUUAUUAGAUAAAAGGUCAAUGUGGGCUUUGCUUAUUGCUUUGAUGAUUCAUGAUAACUUGGUGGAUUGCAUAGCCUUUGUGCUGGUGAUGCAUCAAUCAAAAUUUUACCUUAUCAACUUUUGAUGGUAGGAUACUGGCCUACUAUGGUGGUGAUGGGUGACGGAGAAUUAGGGUUCGAUUUUCGAUAGGGAGCCUAUGAAAUGGCUACCACAUCCAAGGAAGGUAACAAGUGCACAAAUUACCCAAUCUUGAUAAGGAAAGGUAGUGACAAUAAAUAACAAUAUUAGCUCUCUGUGUCUAGUAAUUAGAAUGAGUACAAUCUAAAUCCCUUAACGAGGAUUCAUUGGAGGGCAAGUUUGGUGGCAGCAACCAUGAUAAUUCCAGCUCUAAUAGCAUACAUUUAAGUUUUUACAGUUAAAAAGUGCAUAGUUAGAACUAGGGUUAGGUCAUCUGGUCUACCCAACAAUAAGCAUCAAUCUACUCAUCCUUUUUGCUAGCAAUGUGCUCCUAGGCUUAACUAGCCGGGUCGUUCCUCUAGACCUGUUACUUUAAAAAAAUUAGGGUGCUCAAAGUAGGCCUAUGCUUUUAUACAUUAGUAUGGGAUAACAUCAUAGGAUUUCGGUCCUAUUAUGUUAGAUUUCAAGAUUGAAGUAAUGAUUAAUAGGGAUAGUCAAGGGCAUUUGUAUUUCAUAGUCAGAGGUGAAAUUCUUGGAUUUAUGAAAGACAACUACAAAAGCCUUUUCAUUAAUCAAGAAUGAAAGUUAAGGCUCGAAGAUAAUUAGAUACCAUCCUAGUCUCAAUCAUAAAUGAUGUCUACCAGGGAUCGAUGAAUGCUACUUUUAGGACUCUGCCAGCACUUUAUGAAAAAUCAAAGCUUUUGGGCCCCGAGGGGCUAUAUGGUCGCAAGGCUAAAACUUAAAAGAAUUGACAGAAGGGCAACACUAGGAGUGGAGCCUACGACUUAAUUUGACUCAACAUGGGGAAACUUACCAGGUCUAAACAUAGUAAAGACUGACAGACUAAGAGCUCAUUCUUGAUUCUAUAGGUAGUGAUGCAUGGCCAUUCUUAGUUGGUAGAGCGAUUUGUCUAGUUAAUUCCAUUAAUAAAUGAGAUCUUAGCCUGCUAACUAGCUACACAGAGGUGAUCUUUUAUGACUAGCUUUUUAAAGGGACAAUGGCUACUUAGCCAAAGGAAGUUUGAUGCAACAAUAGGUCUAUAAUGCCCUUAGAUGUUCUGGGCCACAAGCGUGCUACAUUGAUGUAUUCAACGAGUCUAUAGCCUUAGCUGAUAGGCCCAGGUAAUCUUUGAAAUCUCAUCAUGAUAGGAAUAGACUGCUGCAAUUGUUAGUCUUUAAUGAGGAAUUACUAGUAAGCUCAAGUCAUCAACUCGUAUUGACUACAUCCCUACCCUUUAUACACAUCGCCCAUCACUCUUACCGAUUGAAUGGUCUGGUGAAAUGUUUAGAUCGUAGUGACAUGGAUGAUUUGCUGCCCAUGACGUCACGAGAAGUCAACUAAACCUUUUCAUUUAGAGGAAGGAGAAGUCAUAACAAGGUUUCCAUAGGUGAACCUAUGAAAG
rnacentral:rRNA from 1 species